ensembl:lncRNA
GUACUUUUCUUGAUGUAUCUCAACUAUAUUGAUCAAUGACAGUUGGUCAGUGACAGUUGGCUCCUCUUACAUUGUUUCAUAACUAAACUACUGCAUGCUGAAGGUAAAUACAGUGCACUUGUUGAUCUAUUUACCUUCUCUAUCCAGAUUAAAACUGUAAACAGUUUUCUCCAGCACGUUCUCCUCUUUGCUUGUUCUUGAACUGGAGGGUGGAUGAAGUCACCUCUCACACCCACCCACCCAGUCCAUAAUCAUCCUGCCAUCCUUUGCACAUAUAAACCCACCCCAGCCUCAUGCCUACAAAUACCCAAAGACACCGGGGACGGCAUCACAAACUGACUAAAGGACUGACAGAGCAAGUCCGAGCUGCUGCAGACAACUGCUGGAGAAGAAGAUGUUGCCUUACAAGUGUUUGCUGCCUGUUUUGGCUUUCUGCUUAAUUGAUGAGCUCUAUGCGUUCCUGCUUCCAGACCGUCUGCAGUCAGCCAGAAGGCUCAAUCGGGAUGUGUCCUCUCACCUGUCUGAAAUCUCUGAUCUGGGUGAGUUCAUGCCAGAUAACUGGGGGGACAUGACUCAGGACUGGGAGCCCAACCCGGCCAAAUCUGUCACUGACCUCUCCCCUCCUGUGGAGCACAUUCCAGUACUACCCAAACCCCAGCAGCAGCAGAAAAAAGAAAAGAGCAGGGCGAGGGUCACUGUCCCCCUGGACCGCAUUGGUAACUCCUAUCUGUCAAGCAGAUACAGAAAUGAUGAACCGGAGGAGCAGGAGGGACAUCUUGAUGACUGA